rnacentral:rRNA from 1 species
UUGGAGGGCAAGUCUGGUGCCAGCAGCCGCGGUAAUUCCAGCUCCAAUAGCGUAUAUUAAAGUUGUUGCAGUUAGAAAGCUCGUAGUUGAAUUUCGAGACCGGUCUACUGGUCGUGCUUUUGUACGUACUGGUUUUAUUGGUUUCUCCCUUUUGACGAACUAUAAUGCCAUUAAUUUGGUGUUAUGGGGAAUCAGGACUGUUACUUUGAAAAAAUUAGAGUGUUUAAAGCAGGC